GAUGAAGAACGCAGCGAAAUGCGAUAAGUAAUGUGAAUUGCAGAAUUCAGUGAAUCAUCGAAUCUUUGAACGCACAUUGCGCCCAUUAGUAUUCUAGUGGGCAUGUCUGUUCGAGCGUCAUUAAGUCCACUUAAGCCCUGCUUAGUGUUGGGAGACUGCUCCAGCGGUGCUACCCUGUAGCUACCCUGCAGCUCCUCAAAGACAGCGGCGGAGUUGUGGUAUCCUCUGAGCUUAGUAACUUGUUCUAGCUUUCGAGUACACCACUUCCUCUGCCGUAAAACCCUUAAUUUUUAAUGGUUGACCUCGGAUCAGGUAGGAAUACCCGCUGAACUUAAGCAUAUCAAUAAGCGGAGGA
rnacentral:misc_RNA from 1 species